rnacentral:tRNA from 1 species
UCCGCAGUAGCUCAAGCGGUAGAGCUAUCGGUGGUAGGUUCGAUUCCUACCUGCGGAGCCA